AGAGGUGUGUUUACUCAAAUCUCUCUCAAGCCCUAACUGUACACUCUUAGAUCUCUCUGCAACCCUAACUUUAACUCUCCACUCUCCUUCUCUAUUUUCACUUUCAUAUACAGAACCACUUCCGAAUCUUAUGGUUUCAUCAUCCUCUUCACUUUCCCUUCAUUUUUAACCGAUUAAAACCACUUUUCUACUGAUUAAAACCCUUUCUGCCAUUUGUUCUUCGAUUUCCACCGAUUAAACCUCCAUUUGCGCCGGUUAAACACUUUUGUACCGAUCAAUCUUGUGUUUGAACCGAUUAAUCGGUUCAUUUUAUGUUUCUCCCCAUUUUUAGGGUUCCUUCGGUCCAGAUUAGGGUUCUUUCUCCAUUUUGGAGCUUUCCCGCAAUCGUUCUGGCUUCUAUUCAUUCGUUUAGGGUUUUUUAACAUGUUCUUCCAAUCAUUCUCCGUUUCGCUCUCGAUCUCGAGUUCGUCUCAUUAUUUCGCUGCGUUUUCUCAUCAAGGAAGCUUCGAAGGAGUUCGAGUCGAGUCCGCAUCGGUCUUUUGGUCAUCUCCUUGGAGGCUCUUUCGUCAAGUGGCCGCAAAAUCAAUCACACCCGACGACGUUUCAGCGCUCCUUCGAGCCUGCUACUCUUUUGAAACCCAAAGAAGAGGUUGGAUUGAAGACUGAAGGUGCUGUAGGGAUUGUUUUGAACCAAAAGCAGGAAGUGGUGACAAAAUCUGCUGUGGAGAUUCUAAACGAUCAACAUAGAAAUUCGGCUCCUGUUGCACGCUUGGCAAUGACGCGUAGGGUGCGUCCUCUCGUUUCAUGAAAGUGGGGUUGAUCAAUUAGUAGAGAUAAUCAAGGUGUGGAGGCUAUAGUAAAAAGGAACCUGGUGAAGUACUGACACUUCAGAAGCGAGUGUUAGCAGUGCUAAAUGAGGCAAGGAAUAAUUUGGAUGGUAAGAUUGUUAAGAGAGGGGAUUAUGCGAUAGCAGCAACGAGGGCGGUUUAUUAUGUUACCCUUGUCAAUCACAGUAGUGCCUCAAAGUGAAACAAGGGCCAAGCUGAGAAAUAAUUUAAAGUAGAAGUAGAAGCUAUUGGUCGAGUGCGACACAAAAAUCUUGUACAAUGAGUCAUUCAAACCUUGAUAAUUAAAAUGUCUUUUUCUUGAGCUACAGAUGUGCUUGCAUUAAAGGAUUUGCAUUCCCUGCAUGGGUUGAAAUAGACACGUGGAAAGCUUGGUCUUGGUGCAAAGAUGGUAUUGAUUGAGGAGAAAUAGGUCCAGGGACUAAAUAGGAAGUUGAAGUACGGGCUUGCUUUGUACAUGUGGUGGAGAAAAUGCAAGAGCUAAUAAGUAAAAGUCAGGAAGACAGGUUAUUAAGGAAACAAUUGAUUCCAAUAUUACAAUAGAAUACAAGUCAAACACAGUUGAUGAUUUACAUAUGAGGAAGCCAGAUAUUAGCAAAGCGAAGGAACUGCUGAUUUAGCAACACAAAAUCCCACUUAAUGAUGAAAUUGGAUUCUGAAUAAAGAUGAAGGUAAAGGGAUGAAAUUUUCCUUUAGGAAGGAGAUUUAUUCUAAUCUUCCAUUUCAGGCUACGAAGGAAGUUAAUUAGCAUUUAGAAAUGUUACAUUUAGAAGUUUAAUUGUAUAUUGAUUUACAAUAUGAAAAUCAAAGUUAAUUAACUUUUAAAAAUGUUACCUUUAGCAGUUUAAUUGUAUAUUGAUUUACAAUAUGAAAAUCAACUAAUAUACACGUGAUUGUUAAUUUAUUUAGAUGUUCAUACUUAA